rnacentral:rRNA from 1 species
AACGAACGCUGGCGGCAGGCCUUAUACAUGCAAGUCGAGCGCGCCUUCGGGUAAGCGGCGGACGGGUGAGUAACGCGUGGGAAUAUGCCCUUCUCUAAGGAAUAGCCUCGGGAAACUGAGAGUAAUACCUUAUACGCCCUUCGGGGGAAAGAUUUAUCGGAGAAGGAUUAGCCCGCGUUAGAUUAGGUAGUUGGUGGGGUAAUGGCCUACCAAGCCUACGAUCUAUAGCUGGUUUGAGAGGAUGAUCAGCCACACUGGGACUGAGACACGGCCCAGACUCCUACGGGAGGCAGCAGUAGGGAAUCUUAGACAAUGGGGGCAACCCUGAUCUAGCCAUGCCGCGUGUGUGACGAAGGCCUUAGGGUCGUAAAGCACUUUCGCCAGGGAUGAUAAUGACAGUACCUGGUAAAGAAACCCCGGCUAACUCCG